ACUGAGCAGUCUCGGCUAUACUUCAACCCAGACAUCAACGAAGCAAAUAGCUUGAUAUAUGGUUCAGGGAGCUUCGACGCUUGCUCCGACCAAAGAAGUCUUUCAAGCUAGAUUUUCUUUCCAUAUGAUACCUAGAACUGGCAUUGGCUGAGUUUGCGGUUAAAAAAAAGAGCCAGCAAGGAGAUGGAGUUUGCGAAGCACACGUUCGACCAUGACAACCCCAAGCAUGUGUCCCCAUACUUGAUGACGAGGCUACCAGGUGAAUACCACUCAUGAGAUGUGUGAGCUCUAGCGAAGAGGAUAAGUAGAAGCAUAGAACACAUAUUUGUCAUUAGGGACACGCGAGGAUGUUGUUGCAACAUCCGGGCACAUUUACUUAAAAAUAAAUAGAUUUCAAAA